rnacentral:lncRNA from 1 species
AGAGAGAGAGAGAGGCAGAAACACAAGCAGAGGGAGAAGUAGGCUCCCUGUGGGGAGCCCUAUGCGGGACUCAAUCCCAGGACCCUGGGAUCAUGCCCUGAGCCAGAGGCAGAUGCUCAACCACUGAGUCAUCAAGGUGUCCUUUAUUGUGGUUCUGAUUUGCAUUUCCCUAUUGACCAGUGAUGUUGAGCAUCUUUUCAUGUACUUACUGGCCAUUUGUAGAUCUUUGGAGAAAUGUCUAUUCAAGUCCCUUCCUCAUUUUAAAAUCAGGUUGUGUUUUGUUGUUGUGAUCGAAUUGUAGUAGUUCUGUAUAUAUUCUGGAUGUUAACCCCUUAUCAGAUAUAUGAUUUGCAAAUAUUUCCCUCUGUUCUGUGGGUGGGAUUGUGGGAUUCUUUUAGGCAACAGUAUCCUCUGUGUGGGGGCCUGUACUUCAACAACCUCCCUGGGUUAUUCUGUAGGGCUUAUGCAUCACUGUUCUGAUGUACAUACCAUAGGAUGGAACUUCCGCUGAUGUAUAUGUAAUAAAUGUGUGUGGAUUUGAUUAGAGCCUUAGAAUGUUUGAGUAGAAAGGACACCGGGAGGUCGCUUCACAUAAGCACCUAUUUUUAUAAUGAAUAAACCAAAUGAAAUCAAAAUGACUCACCAGAGGGGACACAUAGCAAGAGCUUAGACACAAAGGCUUCGUUCCCAGUUCUUGCUGCUUGCACCAUGCUGUGGGCUCUGGACUACCUUUGUAGAAGAUUUGUUUGCUAUAUGGGGAGUUUGUAUGGUAUGUUCACACUCACCUUACAAAAUAUAUUAUUAAAAGGUGAGGUGUUUUGUUUUUCUUCAAUGGGAAUGCCUAAUAGGAAAGAAAUACAGGCCAACAAAUUGCCUGAAUGCCAUUUUUACUUGACUAUACUCUAGAGGUAAUUCAUGAAACCCUAACGUCCUUGAGAAAUGGAGCCUAGUGACAGGCUGAGGGACUGUAUCUUUCUUUUUAGAACAAUUAUUUCUCUUACCUGUCUCUAUGAUUUAUGUCUUCACUCACCCCUGCUUCUCCUUCUAGCUCUCUGGCUCCCCUUUGGGACCAUCUCAUAUUCCCUCUCUCCCCUACAUGUGAAGGUUGCCUUCAGCCCCCUUCAUUUCUCACCAAGUACCUUCUCCCUAGCCAACUGAUUUUGUCCUUGACUUUGCUGGUGAUGACUCUCAGACUGAGUGCACCAGCCCAGCCCAGACUCAGACUUAUGAGUGCCUUCUACAUGUGUCUGCAAGGAAGCCCCAGCAGGUCAAACUCCAAGUGUCCAAAUUUUACCUGGUCUGUUCCUCCUCAGAACUUGCUCUCUUUGCCCUGCCCACAUUUGCCAAAGCCAGAAACCUAGGAGUCAGCCUCUCCCUUAACACUCAUGGUCAGUCAGUCAUUUAACUGUUAAUGCUGUUUGUUAAAUAGCUAGCAGAUUUUUGUUGAUCCUUCUUUUCAUUCUGCCUUGACCUAGUCUUUGUUUAGCCAGUCAUAUUCAGAGAAGCUGAGGCUCCCCACUGCACACACACAGACACAUACACACACAAGUGUACACACACACACUACGGCUACUGGAGAGGGGCAAGAGAUGCUGGUAAAUAUAUUACCAAUGCACAGGACAGCUGCCCACGACAAAGAAUUAUCCAGCCCAAAUUGUGAAGACUUCCAAGGUUGAGCAAUCCUGCCCUAAGAUGAUCCAUAGCUUCUUGUUCCCCACCCAGGUCUCUUUUACCUGGAGAGUAUUCCAGACUGCUGAGCAUUGGCUGUUAAGGUCUCACGACUGCCUCCGGCACAGACACAGGCCACCUCAAGAUCUGCGAGGUUCCCUGUACUCCCCACCACUGAGGUGCCCCCAGCCAAUGAGUGACUGGUGCAGAGAUACAAAAGCCUAGACUCUGCUUUGAAGAGGAACAGUGCUGUGGUGCCAUGCAUGUUCCAGAGCAUCUGUGGGAUCAGGCUGGGGCUAGACUUGGGCUGAAACCACAUCUUUUCUUAGCUGCUCCUCUUCCUUUUCCUGCUUCUCUCCCUCUCUACACAUUCUUCCUGAGGGCUCCCUCCCGUUACACAACCUUUACAAGAAUCCCCACCUCAGCUCUGCUUCUGGGGAACUGACCCACAACAUGGGACUGGCUGACAUUUGUGAAGGGAGAAACCAGAGCUUUGAAAGACCAUCUAGUAACUACCAAGCCUCUGGCAACUGGAAGAACAUGAGCCUGCCCCAUAGAGCUUCUCUGCUGUUGACUACUGUACUGGUCCCAGGUGCUCAGCCAAAGCCAUCCCUCCAGAAACUGGUAAAUAGAUGACAAAUUCAAGUCAGUGUUACUUUAGCAACCAGACAAUUAAUUUAAGGUAGUAAGGUAAAAAGUAAGGUAGUACUCACUUUAAAGAGAGGUGAGGGGCACCUGAGUGGCUCAGUCAGUUAACAAUAGACUCUUGAUUUUGGCUCAGGUCAUGAUCCCGGGGUUAUGGGAUCAAGCCCUGCAUCAGGCUUUUAAGAGCUGCUCCCUGCUUAAGAUUUUUUCUCUCCUGGGACACCUGGGUGGCUCAGUGGUUGAGCGUCUGCCUUUGGCUCAGGUUGUGAUCCCAGAGUCCCCGGGGUUGAGUCCCGAGUCCCACAAUAGGCUCCCUGUGGGGAGCCUGCUAUUCCCUCUGACUGUCUCUGCCUCUCUCUCUUUCUCUGUAUCUCUCAUCAAUCGGUAAAUAAAAUCUUACAGAAGGAAAAAAAAAAGAUUUUCUCUUUCCCUCUGCCCCUCCCCUCCCUCUAAAAGAGAGAGAGAGAGGGAGAGAGUCAACUUGCUGACUGCUGUUUGCCUAAUUUGUUCAUGUUGCUCUACUGGACCCCCUCCCUGCCUGCUUGACUUUUUUGGGAAGAUGCUAUUCAAGAUAAGCUCUAAAAGAUGAGAUGAAGUCAGCAGAAAGUCCCUGGACUGAGGGAAGAGCUUGUGCAAAGGUCCUGAGACAAAACAAAACAAUUCUCAACACCUCCACCAACACCACUACUCAUAAAGGAAGAAGGUGUCCCAGCCACUGAGAGAAAGCC